rnacentral:rRNA from 1 species
AGAGUUUGAUCCUGGCUCAGAACGAACGCUGGCGGCGUGGAUAAGACAUGCAAGUCGAACGAGAUUUUUUCCUGUAGCAAUACAGGGGAAAGUCUAGUGGCGAACGGGUGCGUAACACGUGGGCAAUCUGCCUUAAAGUGGGGGAUAGCUCGGCGAAAGCCGAAUUAAUACCGCAUGUGAUCAGGGGAGACAUCUUCCCGAAAUCAAAAGUGGCGCAAGCUACUGCUUUUUGAGGAGCCCGCGGCCUAUCAGCUAGUUGGCGAGGUAACGGCUCACCAAGGCUUUGACGGGUAGCUGGUCUGAGAGGACGACCAGUCACACUGGAACUGAGACACGGUCCAGACACCUACGGGUGGCAGCAGUCGAGAAUUUUUCUCAAUGGGGGAAACCCUGAAGGAGCGACGCCGCGUGGAGGAUGAAGGCUUUCGGGUUGUAAACUCCUGUCAUUUGGGAACAAAGCCUUACGUUAACUGCGUGGAGGUUUGAUAGUACCGAAAGAGGAAGAGACGGCUAACUCUGUGCCAGCAGCCGCGGUAAUACAGAGGUCUCAAGCGUUGUUCGGAUUCAUUGGGCGUAAAGGGCGCGUAGGCGGCGGGGUAAGUCGGGUGUGAAAUCUCAGGGCUCAACCCUGAAACUGCACUCGAUACUGCUCUGCUUGAGGACUGGAGAGGAGACUGGAAUUCACGGUGUAGCAGUGAAAUGCGUAGAUAUCGUGAGGAAGACCAGUGGCGAAGGCGGGUCUCUGGACAGUUCCUGACGCUGAGGCGCGAAGGCCAGGGGAGCAAACGGGAUUAGAUACCCCAGUAGUCC